rnacentral:tRNA from 1 species
AGAAAGUUAGUCUAAUUAAGACAGUUGAUUUCGACUCAACAGAUUAUAGUCCACAUCCUAUAACUUUCUU